AGGGAAAUAAACAGCGGGAAACAAAAUGGGAGGAAAGUAAAACGAGGAAACUAAAUAGACAAAGCAAUUAAAACAUAAAUAAAUCUGAAUAAAAUAAGAAUCUGCUCCAAGAGGAGACUUGAAUCUGGUAUAAUGCGAGUAGACAAAAAUAAACUUUGAUGGAAUGUAAAUGUGGGAAGAUAAAUAGCCUCAAAAUAAAGGUGCUCAAAACUUGAUACACGAACAAAAUGCGAUAAACAUUUGAUGUAAGGAGUUAAAG
rnacentral:lncRNA from 1 species